UUGAAACACCAAUUCUCAUAUGAUCACUGAAGUUAAGCAAUGUUGAGCCUGCUAGUCAGUACCCAGAUGGGUAACCACUUGGGAAUACAAGGUGCU